AUUGUUUGUGCACAUCCUACGGUCGAUAUACAUUCUUUCCUUCCAUACCUUUCUCUUCAGCUGUCUCUCUCUCUCUCUCUCAUUCAAAAUUCAAAAUUCGACUCUCCCUCAUCUCAUUCUCAGGGCUCAUAGAUUGGAGGGGAGGAUUUUCAAUGUCAAUAGGACUUGCGUUGCGGCCGAUACUCGGAUGUCGACUGGUUACAGUAUUCUCUCUCGCGAUUACUCUAAGAUCUGUAAACUCCAUAGAGACCAUCAAUUGAUCAUUAGUGGAAUAGAGAAAGAACGAUUCCCAAAAUCAAAUUGUGAGUA